rfam:Cyphomyrmex costatus contig21422, whole genome shotgun sequence.
GUUUCAGUAGUCUAACUGGCUAGGACACUUGCGCAUAAAGCGAGCGAUCCGGGUUCAACUCCCGGCUGAGAUA